GGUCAAUGACUUGCUGUUGAUGAUCAUUAAGUACCAAAUAUGACCGUCAAUAUACUCAAGAAUAAAGGAGGAUUUGCAUUUCUUAAACGCAUAUUUGGUUUUGAAUAAUGUAGUUCCACUUGUCCUUGGAGAAUAUUUGGUUGCAGGUGAAUAAGCACAAAAGGAUGGAGAAAACACCCUCUAUGGAUACAAGAAACAUGCUUCUGGCCAAUGGGAGGUCGCCA
rnacentral:lncRNA from 1 species